UGGGGAAUAUUGGACAACGGGCGCAAGCCUGAUCCAGCCAUGCCGCGUGAGUGAUGAAGGCCCUAGGGUUGUAAAGCUCUUUCGCCAGGGACGAUAAUGACGGUACCUGGAUAAGAGGCCCCGGCUAACUUCGUG
rnacentral:rRNA from 1 species